rnacentral:rRNA from 1 species
GAUGAACGCUGGCGGCGUGCCUAAUACAUGCAAGUCGAACGCAGGGGGGACGGGUGAGUAAAACGUGGGUAACCUCCCAUCAGAGGGGAUAACACUUGGAAACAGGUGCUAAACCGAUACUGAUGGAUGAACCCGCGGUGCAUUAGCUAGUUGGUGAGGUAACGGCUCACCAAGACCACGAUGCAUAGCCGACCUGAGAGGGUGAUCGGCCACACUGGGACUGAGACACGGCCCAGACUCCUACGGGAGGCAGCAGUAGGGAAUCUUCGGCAAUGGGCGAAAGUCUGACCGAGCAACGCCGCGUGAGUGAAGAAGGUUUGCGGAUCGUAAAGCUCUGUGGUUAGAGAAGCGGUAUCUAACCAGAAAGCCACGGCUAACUACGUGCCAGCAGCCGCGGUAAUUC